rnacentral:tRNA from 1 species
GGGCAAGGAGCUCGUUGGGAGAGCAGGGCGUUUGCAACGCUCAGGUUACGGGUUCGAAUCCCGUCUUGUCCA